rnacentral:tRNA from 1 species
CGGGCUGUGGCGCAGCUCGGUAGCGCACGUGCUCGAGGGGAGCCGUGGUCGUAGGUUCAAAUCCUGCCAGCCCGA